rnacentral:rRNA from 1 species
UACGAAGGGGGCUAGCGUUGCUCGGAAUUACUGGGCGUAAAGGGCGCGUAGGCGGACAGUUUAGUCAGAGGUCAAAGCCCAGGGCUCAACCUUGGAACUGCCUUUGAUACUGGCUGUCUUGAGUUCGGGAGAGGUGAGUGGAAUGCCGAGUGUAGAGGUGAAAUUCGUAGAUAUUCGCAAGAACACCAGUGGCGAAGGCGGCUCACUGGUCCGGUACUGACGCUGAGGUGCGAAAGCGUGGGGAGCGAACAGG